UACGGAAGGCAGCAGUGGGGAAUAUUGCACAAUGGGCGAAAGCCUGAUGCAGCUAUGCCGCGUGUAUGAAGAAGGCCUUAGGGUUGUAAAGUACUUUCAUCGGGGAGGAAAAAACAAAACUAAUAAUUUUAUUUCUUGACGUUACCCGAAAAAGAAGCACCGGCUAACUCCGUGCCAGCAGCCGCGGUAAUACGGAGGGUGCUAGCGUUAAUCAGAAUUACUGGGCAUAAAGAGCACGUAGGUGGUUUUUUUAAGUUCAGAUGUGAAAUCCCUGGGCUUAACCUGGAACUGCAUUUUGAAACUGAAAUACUAGAGUAUCGUAGAGGGAGGUAGAAUUCUAGGUGUAGCGGUGAAAUGCGUAGAUAUCUGGAGGAAUACCUGUGGCGAAAGCGGCCUCCUAAACGAAUACUGACACUGAGGUGCGAAAGCGUGGGGAGCAAACAGGGAUUAGAUACC
rnacentral:rRNA from 1 species